UUAGAGCUAUUAAGUAAAGUGGAAGAAUAACUAAUGAAUAUGCAACUAUAACAUUCAUGGGCAUUUCAUUAGUAUAAUACCCAUAGAAUGAUGCUAAAUACAAGCAAACAAUCACUAAAGUUAUGAAAAAUAAAGAGAAAUUCAUGUUUUGAUGAUGAAUUUUAUCUAGAAGGUUAAGAGAUGAAGAAGUUGUGCAAAUAAAUGGUUGAAGGAACAAGUAUUUAUAGGACAAAAACUAGCCGUUUAUGACCGUUGGUGAAUAGUGAUCAUGACCGUUGGGGGUAUAGUUGUUUUCUAUUAUGGGAUUUUAACAAUUCUAAGUUGUUGUAGUAACCAACAGGUGGGAAUAAUUAAUUUAUGGGUGUUAGAGAAACAUUUUCAGAAAAGUUUGUGAGUCAAAAAUGUUAAACUAAGUAAUAUAAGAAGAUUGGGAAUUUUUUUUUUUUUUUACUAUUCACCGGGUACUAUUCAUAGUGGGUCCCACAGUGGGGUCCGCAAGGGUCCCACAGCGGGGUCCACCCCAUGGGUCCCACAUGUUGAUGCAGUAGUGAUAUAGUGAUGACUUAAGCAAAUUACUAUGCUUGAUAUUUUGAAUAUUUUAUUAUUUUACUAUGCUUGAUAUUUUUAAUAUUUUAUUAUUUUACUAUGCAGCAUAGUAACCCAAUGUUUUCCUAUAAAUAGAGCCUUUCAGAAUUCAUUUUGAAUUACGAAAAAUCUUUCUUUCUCUCACUCUGCCUAAAAUCUUCUUAACACUCUUUUAAAGUUUUAAAUCUCUAAAAUCUAGGCGAAGUUCUGUUUGUAACGCUAGCCUACGAAGACCUUUUUGGGAAGCUAACAAUUUCGGUUGUUUUAUCAAGACGCAAGGUAAGAGGCCCCAAAUAUAAAUCGUUGAUGAGUAUACGUGGAGCCAACAUGACUGUACAUAUGGGGCUGACCUGAAGGGAGUGGAGUUCUGCUAUGCUAUUUUAUAAAUAAACAAGAAACUUGGUUUUAUUAUAUUUCAUUAAAAGUAUUUUGUGAACUUUAUCAUUUACUUAAAGCUUUAAAAGUAUUUCAUGAACUUUGUAAUUUACAUAAAGCUUUUCAAUUUAUCAGUUGGAUACAUUUUCAUUUCUACGUUAAGGUGUAG